rnacentral:lncRNA from 1 species
CACGCUGGCCAAGAUGUCCUCUGUGAAGUUGCGGCUGCUCUGCAGCCAGGUACUAAAGGAGCUGCUGGGACAGGGGAUUGAUGAUCCAGGCUGUAGGUGAGGGGCUGGUGAGCAGGGGCCUGGCACCGCCUGAAGGUCUCCUUUCCCCAUAGUAUAAGAAGAUCCUGAAACUCACGGCUGAUGCCAAGUUUGGUGAGCACCCCACUGAGUUCACAGGCCCCAGGCAACCCUGGGACCUCGGCCUGGUGCCUGGUACAGAGCCCGCCCCCACCCCCCACCCCCCGCCAACACACACAUCCCAGCAGUAUCCUUAACCUGCCUUCCCUAGUGGAGGAGCAUGAGGGAAAGAAAGACAUUGACAGUCCCACCUUCCUGUCCUCUGCCAGCUCCUGGUGGAGCAGUAGCAGUGCCUGUGGCUCCAGGAGGCCUGGGGGCUUUGAGCUGAAGUUAAUAGGGCAACAGGGGGGUGGCUGGGCCCACAGUGACACCCCCUGUCCCAUGCAUGGGUCCCUGAGAGUCAGGCGAUGUGAAGGCCACAGUGGCAGUGCUGAGUUUCAUGCUCUCCGGAACUGCCAAGCACAGUGUCGAUGGCGAAUCCUUGGCCAGUGAACUGCAGCAGCUGGGGCUGCCCAAAGAGCACGCGGCCAGCCUGUGCCGCUGUUAUGAGGAGAAGCAAAGCCCCUUGCAGAAGCACUUGCGGGUCUGCAGCCUACGCAGUAAGUAUGAGGCCAGCCAGGGUCCAGGCUCAUCCUAGAAGGUGCACGCAGCACACAAAGUGCGUGGAGAGUCCAGGGAGACAAUUUAACCGCAGUCACAUACCGAGCAGCCGCAGAGCCGGGACGUGGCCCUCGGUCUCCUGACCCCGCGCGCUCUGUGAUGUGUACGUACAGGAUCAGACCUUGCCCUUUCCUCCUGGCUGACCCUUCCUUAGUCCCCCGUGCCCCAUGUGUGAGCACCCAGCUCACUCUCAUUCCUCCCUCUCCAAAGCGUGGUCCCUGGCAGCACGAGUGGCAGAAGGGACAGCAGAGACUGUGGACCCCUCAGCUGCACCUAAGACCUCUGUGUGGUCUAGCCGUGUGUGCUGGGGGAGGCUUUUGGCCACCAUUUCCCCGUCUGUAAAUGAGACCGAUACCUGUAGCAUGGAGGGCAGGAGGCUGGUGUGAGUGCCAAGCACUUGGAGCAGGGCCCUGACCCUGCAAGUCCAAUCCUUGUGGGUCUAGGAAGGAAGAAGCCCAUGGCUGUGUGACCUCAGGCUGGUGCCUGGCCCUCUCUGGCUGUGAGUUCCUGGGAAAGUCAGCACCCAAGGCAUGCCCUCAAGUUUAGCACUUUGACAAGAAGGGCGGGGACACUGGGAUCAGGCCCAACCCUCUGGCCCCAAAUCCCACGGCCCCAGCUGGAGGAUGAGGAGAUGCUGAGCUUGGAUGGGGGAAUCAAGGGUGUAAAGGGGCCCGCUCACCCCUCAGCUUGGCUCAAAGGUUCAAGGCGUCAAAGGUUCAGCCUGCGACUCAGGAAGGAGACCUGGCCCAGCCAGACACUCACCAGGACAAGGGCAACUGUGACGAGCAGGAGGCCCAGGAUGAGGAGAGCCACAGCAUAGCUGGAGAUAAAGGCAUCCAGCAGGCUGGAGGCUUUGGGGCUGGGAGUGCCUAGAGCAGAGCAAGAAGGCCAUGGCCUGGCGGGGCUUUGCCUCCCAGACUUCUAAGAAGACAGAAUCUGGGCCCAGAAGCUGCUGCGGGACCAGAGAGCUGGGACUAGGAGCACCUUGGAGGGCUCCAUGAGGAGGGGAGGCAGGCUUCAGAUCAGGGCAUGUGGAGGCAGCGAGCCCAAGGGAGGAGGCAGAGGAACAGAGGGAGGCGGGCCUGCAGAGGGAAGGAGGUGAUGACCGUGUCUACCAAGACGCCCUCUGCCUCCCACAGGGUGUGCAGGCCCUGGCGUGCACAGUCCCACACGACGGCCUGGGCUGGCGCCACCCUGAAGAAGGUGGCACCCACUCUGGCGGUCAGUGGGUCCGGCCUGCUGAGAGGAUUAUCACAGAUUUCAGGGGGCUGUGCAGCCUUGCGGGACUAGGGGAGGUCAUCUUUUCCAGCCUCCUGUCCUCAACCCCACAAUGCUGGUCUGAGCCCUGGGUCACCCAGGGCCACCCUGGACCCACCGGAAUUCCUCCACCACCACUUGGUCAAAGUUCUGCAGAGAUCUGAGGACGAGGGUCAGCUGGGGGUCAGGAGAGGAUGAAGAGGGUCACAGCUCUACCAAACGAAGCUUCAUUCCUGGUGGUGCCUGGCCCACCCCUCUGCUGCCAAUCUCAGGCUGGCCCAGCCCUGCAGAGUAGGUGCCUAGAGGCAUCGUAGCAGUUCCUGUCAUGCUGGUCUCCCCCCGGGGCCCCCUCUGGAGCCUGGUACCACAGAUCUCAGGGUAGGGGGUACAGCUCAGUCUCCCUUCCCCCUCAUGCCCCUCAUAGGGGCUUGGUCCACCAAGGCCCCUGACUGCUGGGGGACCCACACCCACGGCCCCCUUCUUUCUGACUGCUGGCCCUUCCCCAGCCUGGAUACUCGAGCCCUGGGCAGAGGGGUAACGAUCCCAGGACUGUCUUCGCAAGCAGAGAGGCUACUUGGCACCAGGCUCUUACUCCUUGGGCUGAGCUCAGCAGCAGGUGUGUCACCAAGGUCCCCUGGGCAGAAGGGGCUCAGCCCUGAGGGCCCAUCACUUGCCACGCCUGCAUGUUCCUGCUAGGCAUCCACCCUGGGGACCCAGCUUCCCCCUGCCCCCAGCUGCUGGCAGCCC